AGCGAACGCUGGCGGCAUGCUUUACACAUGCAAGUCGAACGGUAACAGGCCGCAAGGUGCUGACGAGUGGCGAACGGGUGAGUAAUGCAUCGGAACGUGCCCAGUCGUGGGGGAUAACGCAGCGAAAGCUGCGCUAAUACCGCAUACGAUCUAUGGAUGAAAGCGGGGGACCGUAAGGCCUCGCGCGAUUGGAGCGGCCGAUGUCAGAUUAGGUAGUGGGUGGGGUAAAGGCUCACCAAGCCAACGAUCUGUAGCUGGUCUGAGAGGACGACCAGCAACACUGGGACGGAGGCACGGCACAGACGCCUACGGGAGGCAGCAGUGGGGAAUUUUGGACAAUGGGCGCAAGCCUGAUCCAGCAAUGCCGCGUGCAGGAAGAAGGCCUUCGGGUUGUAAACUGCUUUUGUACGGAACGAAACGGUCCGGGUUAAUACCCUGGGCUAAUGACGGUACCGUAAGAAUAAGCACCGGCUAACUACGUGCCAGCAGCCGCAGUAACAC
rnacentral:rRNA from 1 species